AAGGGAACUACGAAUGAGAUAUAAAAUUAUGAAAAGUAAAAGUAAACUUACUUGUACUUGAAUAAAUCAGGGAAAUCAUAUUUAGCAAGGGCUGUGUGUUUACUCUCCUAUGGGCUCACUUAAUGGCAGAGUCAGAAUUUUACCCAGGUCUGACUGGCCUUAUAGUCUAAACUCUAUACUCACAGGAAACUCCCAAAUGAAAGGAUUCAGGGAGAAGUUGGCAUAAUGCUCUAGAAUGUUGUUAAGUAGCAGAGGGACAUGGUCCUUGCUGGGCAAUAAAAAAGUAAGUUUGGCAGGCAGUAUGUUUUGGAUUAAUGGCAUAAAGCUGCCAAUGGGAGGAAGCCCUCGGUGGGGCAAGUAGAUGAGCCAGGGAGGGGUUCAUUCCACAGAAGGGGAAAGGACACAGUGGGGGAAAUUCUGGAACUUACCAAUCAGAUUUUUAGAAGAGAAGAAAAUAGGGACAAGAAAGACACAUGUUAAUUUUCAAGUCUGGGUGAAACUUUUUAGCAGAAAGAGUGAGGCAGGAAGCUACUGCUAGUGAGAAGGAAGAUACUGGGUUUAGUUUGAGGCAUGUCAGAUUUUAGAUACUGGCUGGGACUACAUUUGAAAAUGUCUCUAGGCAACUGAUUAUGCUGGAGGGUAGCUCCAUAGAGCUCUCAGUUCCAAAGGGUCCUUCUUAGAAGCAAGAAUUGGAAUUUGGGAGCUAUGUGCAGAGAUGAAGGGGACAGCUUAGGUGAACAAGACAGAUGGGAGAGAUCAAAGAACAUAGAAGAGCAUCCUUGGGGCAUGUCAAUAAAAAAGAAGAAGAAGAUGGAGACAGAGAGUGGGGAAGAGGCAGAAGAGUGGUAUCUUACAGCAAGAGAAGUCAUAGGACCCAGGGAAGAUGGUACCCAGGUUCACCUAAUUUGGGGAGCCAGAAAAUAGUUAUGACAUCAGAGAAGAAAAUUUCUGGAGAAAGGCAAGGAUGGAAGAUACGGACCAAAAGAUCACUAAGAAACGUGAAAGCUUUGGCCUUCACCACCUGUUUUAUGUAAGUGACUGCUGAGGCCUGAGGCCUGGCAAAGAUCCGCACAGCAGGGGGCCUCACUGUGGUUGCUUGCUAAGCAUUCCAGGAGCCAGGCCCCACUGUCAGAGGACAGGUAUGGUCUGCUCUUCCCCUCUCAAAUGCGCCCAGGCCUACCGUAC
rnacentral:lncRNA from 1 species